UUUCCGUAGGUGAACCUGCGGAAGGAUCAUUAUCGAGUUUUGACUGGGUUGUAGCUGGCCUUCCGAGGCAUGUGCACGCCCUGCUCAUCCACUCUACACCUGUGCACUUACUGUGGGUAUCAGAUCGUGAAGCGUGCUUUUUUACCGGAGCUUGUGAAGCAUGUCUGUGCCUGCGUUUAUCACAAACACUGUAAAGUAUCAGAAUGUGUAUUACGAUGUAACGCAUCUAUAUACAACUUUCAGCAACGGAUCUCUUGGCUCUC
rnacentral:misc_RNA from 1 species